rnacentral:rRNA from 1 species
UACGUAGGGGGCAAGCGUUGUCCGGAUUUAUUGGGCGUAAAGAGCGUGUAGGCGGCUCGAUAAGUCCGCUGUGAAAGUCCAGGGCUCAACCCUGGAAGGCCGGUGGAAACUGUCGGGCUAGAGUCCGGAAGAGGCGAGUGGAAUUCCCGGUGUAGCGGUGAAAUGCGCAGAUAUCGGGAGGAACACCAAUGGCGAAGGCAGCUCGCUGGGACGGUACUGACGCUGAGACGCGAAAGCGUGGGAGCAACAGG